AAUAAACGCUGGCGACGUGCCUAACACAUGCAAGUCGAGCGGGAAUAGUUCUUCGGAAUGAUUUCUAGCGGCAGACGGGUGAGUAAAGCAUGAGAAUCUGCCCCUUAGUAGAGAAUACUCCCGAGAAAUCGGGCUUAAUACUGUAUGUUUCCCUUUCGAGGGAAAAAGAUGGCCUCUUGCUAUCGCUAAGGGAUGAGCUUAUGUGCUAUCAGCUAGUUGGUGAGGUAAUGGCUCACCAAGGCUAUGACGGCUAGCCGGCCUGAGAGGGUGUACGGCCACACUGGAACUUAGAUACGGUCCAGACUCCUACGGGAGGCAGCAGUGGGGAAUAUUGCGCAAUGGGCGAAAGCCUGACGCAGCGACGUCGCGUGAAGGAUGAAGGUCUUCGGAUCGUAAACUUCUGUUAAGUGGGAAGAAAGCCUCACUAAUAAUACGAGUGAGGGAUGACGGUACCAUUAGAGAAAGCACCGGCUAACUUCGUGCCAGCAGCCGCAGUAACAC
rnacentral:rRNA from 1 species